rnacentral:rRNA from 1 species
GUAGGGAAUAUUGCACAAUGGAGGAAACUCUGAUGCAGCGACGCCGCGUGAGUGAUGAAGGCCUUCGGGUCGUAAAGCUCUGUCGCAGGGGAAUAACACAAUGAAGGUACCCUGUAAGAAAGGAUCGGCUAACUUCGUGCCAGCAGCCGCGGUAAGACGAGGGAUCCUAGCGUUGGUCGGAAUCAUUGGGCGUAAAGCGGAUGUAGGUGGCUAUGUAAGUCAGAUGUGAAAGCCUGGGGCUCAACCCCAGAAGUGCAUUUGAUACUGCGUAGCUUGAGUGUCGGAGAGGUUACUAGAAUUGUUGGUGUAGUGGUGAAAUACGUAGAUAUCAACAGGAAUACCGGAGGCGAAGGCGGGUAACUGGCCGAACACUGACACUGAGAUCCGAAAGCGUGGGGAUCAAACAGGAUUAGAAACCCCAGUAGUCC